AUACGGAGGGGGCAAGCGUUGUUCGGAAUCACUGGGCGUAAAGCGCGCGCAGGCGGGCUGAUAAGUUGGAUGUGAAAGCCUACGGCUCAACCGUAGAACUGCAUCCAAAACUGUCAGUCUAGAGUCUGGGAGGGGAAGAUGGAAUUAGUUGUGUAGGGGUAAAAUCCGUAGAGAUAACUAGGAAUACCAAAAGCGAAGGCGAUCUUCUGGAACAGUACUGACGCUGAGGCGCGAAAGCGUGGGGAGCAAACAGGAUUAGAUACCCUAGUAGUCC
rnacentral:rRNA from 1 species